rnacentral:lncRNA from 1 species
AGAGCUCCUUGACGUCCCCAGAUCCACCUGUGGCCUUGGCUCAUGCCACUUUCCUCCCUGCAGGGUGCAGGGCUCAGCAGCCUGCCCAUGGACCAAACCCAUUAAUCUGUGUGAGGUGGAAGAACCCAGAGCCCAGGGGGACAAGCCUCCUGGACUUGAGCAAGCAGCAGCAUCUCCCGGGAACCCAGCUCCAUGUGAGUCCAAAGGGAAGGAGACUCCUGUGUGUUCUCCAUUUGGAUAUUCCUGCUGCUGUCUGGAGAUCCUCUUCACCCUUCACCUGGUGGAGAAGGUUUCUCAGCCCCACCAGCUGUCUCCAUCCCAGCCAAGGACUCAGAGUGUGGGGCCUGCAGGAGGGGCUCUCAGCAAAGCCUUCCUGGAUGAAGGGGCUCAUCCCCUGCACAGCAUGGUGAGAGAAAGGCCUAGAAAGCCAGAAAGGAACUGCCCAGGUUAGGAGCCCUGGUGGAUGCUGAGCAGGCGUUCCGGGCAGGGGAGCGGCGUGUACCAAGGCCACAGGAGGAUCUGGAACUGGAGACGCUCCCUGUGGAGGAAGCAAAAGUGAACAGAUCAGAAUAAAGAAGCAAGAGCUCCGCCCAGUCAUGCAAGGAGACCGCA